rnacentral:rRNA from 1 species
GACGAACGCUGGCGGCGUGCUUAACACAUGCAAGUCGAACGGAAAGGCCCUGCUUUUGUGGGGUGCUCGAGUGGCGAACGGGUGAGUAACACGUGAGUAACCUGCCCUUGACUUUGGGAUAACUUCAGGAAACUGGGGCUAAUACCGGAUAGGAGCUCCUGCUGCAUGGUGGGGGUUGGAAAGUUUCGGCGGUUGGGGAUGGACUCGCGGCUUAUCAGCUUGUUGGUGGGGUAGUGGCUUACCAAGGCUUUGACGGGUAGCCGGCCUGAGAGGGUGACCGGCCACAUUGGGACUGAGAUACGGCCCAGACUCCUACGGGAGGCAGCAGUGGGGAAUAUUGCACAAUGGGCGGAAGCCCGAUGCAGCAACGCCGCGUGCGGGAUGACGGCCUUCGGGUUGUAAACCGCUUUCGCCUGUGACGAAGCGUGAGUGACGGUAAUGGGUAAAGAAGCACCGGCUAACUACGUGCCAGCAGCCGCGGUGAUACGUAGGGUGCGAGCGUUGUCCGGAUUUAUUGGGCGUAAAGGGCUCGUAGGUGGUUGAUCGCGUCGGAAGUGUAAUCUUGGGGCUUAACCCUGAGCGUGCUUUCGAUACGGGUUGACUUGAGGAAGGUAGGGGAGAAUGGAAUUCCUGGUGGAGCGGUGGAAUGCGCAGAUAUCAGGAGGAACACCAGUGGCGAAGGCGGUUCUCUGGGCCUUUCCUGACGCUGAGGAGCGAAAGCGUGGGGAGCGAACAGGCUUAGAUACCCUGGUAGUCCACGCUGUAAACGGUGGGUACUAGGUGUGGGGUCCAUUCCACGGGUUCCGUGCCGUAGCUAGCGCUUUAAGUACCCCGCCUGGGGAGUACGGCCGCAAGGCUAAAACUCAAAGGAAUUGACGGGGCCCCGCACAAGCGGCGGAGCAUGCGGAUUAAUUCGAUGCAACGCGUAGAACCUUACCUGGGUUUGACAUGGAUCGGGAGUGCUCAGAGAUGGGUGUGCCUCUUUUGGGGUCGGUUCACAGGUGGUGCAUGGCUGUCGUCAGCUCGUGUCGUGAGAUGUUGGGUUAAGUCCCGCAACGAGCGCAACCCUUGUUCACUGUUGCCAGCACGUUAUGGUGGGGACUCAGUGGAGACCGCCGGGGUCAACUCGGAGGAAGGUGGGGAUGACGUCAAGUCAUCAUGCCCCUUAUGUCCAGGGCUUCACGCAUGCUACAAUGGCUGGUACAGAGAGUGGCGAGCCUGUGAGGGUGAGCGAAUCUCGGAAAGCCGGUCUCAGUUCGGAUUGGGGUCUGCAACUCGACCUCAUGAAGUCGGAGUCGCUAGUAAUCGCAGAUCAGCAACGCUGCGGUGAAUAAGUUCCCGGG